rnacentral:lncRNA from 1 species
ACAGAUCAUCAGGCAGAUUGAGCUUGAGGAGAAUCCAAGUCAAGCCUAGAAGCCACCCCAAGAUCACAGGCCACCUGUUCUUUCAGGCAGAUUUAAGCCGGGCCAAUGAAAACCAACUCUACCAACAAUCACAAAGAUAAAAACUUGCGCCAGAGAAACACAAAUUAAGUACUGCUUUUAAUCUCUUUAGGUUCCUGAAAAAUGAUGGCAACAUGACCUGCUAAGUUUUCUGCUUGGACCUCUUUGGUCUCUCCCUUUCAAGUGAGCAACACCACAAUGACCGUCUAAAGCAUGCCUUAUUUAGCCUCUCCUAUAAGGGUGACCUAGCCAGGUACAUUUUAAACAAUGCUUCAGUGUAGAAGGUGUAAACUAUUUUGGGCUUGAUGUGCUGUGAAUGUUGCUUUCCCUCCCUUUGUUAAAAUAUUUAAAUAGAAGCGAAAGGUCCUUUGAGGAUCAGAUCAUGCAUGCGCCAUUUUUUACUUAUACAGCUGUUAAAUUGGCAAAGCUCUAAAUGCACUGCUGCCAUCUAGUGAUCAUUUUGUAAAGUACAGCAAAACCUACAGAUAUAUACAGUAUAUAAAUAUAUAUAUAUUUAUAUUUUUGGGGGUGGGAGAAAUCCAAAAUAAAGUCAAAGCUUGUUUCA